rnacentral:lncRNA from 1 species
GCGAGACGGCAGUACGCAUGUAUGACAUUAUAGACGGCAGUACGCACGCGCGAGCCGCGAGACGGCAGUACGCAUGCGCGGUAUUACGGACAGCAGUACGCAUGCGCGAGCUUCGAGACAGUAGAACGCAUGCGCCACGUUCGAGACAGCAGUACGCAUGCGCGACAUUAUGUACAACUGUACGCAUGCGCGAGUUUCGAGACGGCAAUACGCAUGCGCGAGCCCCCGAGAGGGCAUACGCAUGCGCGAGACGCGAGACGGUAGUACUCAUGCGCGAGUUUCGAGACGGCAGUACGCAUGCGCGAUAUUAUGGACCGCAUUACGCAUGCGCGAGCCUCGAGACGGCAAUACGCAUGCGCGAGUUCCGAAACGGCAGUACGCAUGCGCGACAUCAUGGGCGGUAGUACGCAUGUGCGAACUUCGAGACGGUAGUACGCAUGCGCGAGAUGCGAGUCGGCAGUACGCAUGCGCGCCAUUAUGGACGUGGCAGCAGAUACCGUGGAAACAACAACUCCGCCGCCUUUUAGCGGACUGCCUGGGACCGUGGGCGCGCAUCCCCUUCUCUCUUUCUUUUCUUGGCAGAGGAUGGUGGGGGGAAGAAGGGGAGACGACAAAGAAAAGCAAGGAAAACUUCGACAAACCCUCCAACCCCGUGCUAAAUGCUUUGGUAUACCUGUAAAUAAAUGAAUACAUAACCAGC